CUUUCCUCCCUACUGAAAGUGCUUUACAACCCUAAGGCCUUCUUCACACACGCGGCAUGGCUGGAUCAGGCUUUCGCCCAUUGUCCAAUAUUCCCCA
rnacentral:rRNA from 1 species